GAUGAACGCUGGCGGCGUGCUUAACACAUGCAAGUCGAACGGAAAGGCUCCUGCUUGCAGGGGUACUCGAGUGGCGAACGGGUGAGUAACACGUGGGUGAUCUGCCCUUCACUUCGGGAUAAGCCUGGGAAACUGGGGCUAAUACCGGAUAGGACGAUGGUUUGGAUGCCAUUGUGUAAAGUUUUUCGGCGUGGGAUGAGCUCGCGGCCUAUCGGCUUGUUGGUGGGGGAAUUGCCUAACAAGGCGUCGACGGGUAGCCGGCCUGAGAGGGGGUACGGCCAAAUUGGGACUGAGGUACGGCCCAGGAUCCUACGGGAGGCAGCAGUGGGGGAUAUUGCCCAAUGGGCGCCAGCCUGAUGCAGCGAAGCCGCGUGGGGGAAGACGGCCUUCCGGUUGUAAACUCCUUUCGCUAGGGACGAAGCGUUUUGUGACGGUAACUGGAGAAGAAGCACCGGCUAACUACGUG
rnacentral:rRNA from 1 species